GACGAACCGUCCAAACGUUAUUCGGAAUUACUGGGCUUAAAGGGUGCGUAGGCGGCGCGGAAAGUAGGGUGUGAAAUCCCUCGGCUCAACCGAGGAACUGCGCUCUAAACUACCGUGCUCGAGGAAGAUAGAGGUGAGCGGAACUUAGGGUGGAGCGGUGAAAUGCGUUGAUAUCCUAAGGAACACCGGUGGCGAAGGCGGCUCACUGGAUCUUUUCUGACGCUGAGGCACGAAAGCUAGGGGAGCGAACGGG
rnacentral:misc_RNA from 1 species